UUAAAAUAAACAGCACACUGAAUAUGAUAAACACAAAGUGGCUGCACUCAAAUCUGCUGCACUUUCUGCUUAAUGGGAAUCCAUUCUAUCUGUGAUAAGUAUGGUUUAUGUUAAAGCAACGGCUGGUCAUAAAAUCUCAACAGGCCUUUGAAGGCUGAUGGGUAAAAAGAGGAUGUUUCAUGCCUUAUAUGACAUUCCUCUUUCUGCAUACAAAGAUUCCUAUGAGUGCCACAUACUCUACUCUACUCUACUUUGCUAGACCCUCCCCUGCACAGUUACCGCUGGUUUCCUCUUUGUGGAGCAAAGUGGGCGAUAAACAAACGACAGAAAAGCCGAUCAGCUGAUCACUGAUCAGUUUCAUGAUUUAAUUAGCAGAGGGUGGGGAGAGGGGGCGAGAGAAGAAGAAGCACCUGCGAUGUCAGGAAGUCAGUGACAGGUAAACCCACAGGAAGUUUUUCUGCCCUAUCGGCUACAGGAUGAUGCGAACUGUUUCUACGAAUAUGUUACACGAUCAACGAUCGGAAGAUAACAAGUUACGUUAAACAAAAUCACUAAUUGUGAUUUAGGUUCAAUACGAAACGUUUGAGGAAAAAUCUUAACGACAUGCUGUCAGUGAAGGCAUCACACAGAGAAACCAUUGCUUUCCCCAAAAACCAUCCUGUCACAGGGGAAGAGGAGGAGGUUUUGACCUAAGUGACUGAACUGGUCAAAUUGUCGAUCUGACAUCGAGAGGAGAUUGAAGAACCUCUCUCUGCUGUGGCUCCUCUGUUAUCUGGGUCCGGGUCGUGGGGGCAGCAGCCUAAGCAGAGAAGCUCAGAACUCUCUCUCCAGCCACCUCCUCGUUUAACUGACAGCACUUUAAAGUCUGAAGGACGUCUUGUUUUGCUGAAUCCUGCUGUUGAUGGGACAAAUUAUGAGUAACGGAUUCAAAAAGGAGAAGAUUCAGUUUAAUCAGCUGCAACACGAUCUCAGUAAUGGAGCAACUCAACUGUGUGUCCGUGUCCAGGUGUGGAGUGGAGCUUGUUGUCCGCAAG